ensembl:lncRNA novel transcript
UCCAUCAGAGAACAGGCUACACGUUCUUUGGAAUGUGCUCUGAGUUCCAGCUGGGACAUUGGGAUACUGGGAUGCCAAGAACGUGUCUGCCUGAUGUCAGCAGUGGGCUCGAGGCAGAUGUCCCUGCGCACCCACUAGUCACUUAGUCGGUGCAUCUUCACAGAAGAUAACAUCUCUGUGGGCCCCUCUCCUCCCCUGCUGUACAGUGGCUCUUCUGCGACCAAGUGGCCCCCUUGGAGGUGGAAGCAAAAGGAAAGGCUCUGGACGGAGGUUCCCCAGCUCCUUGAUAACGUGUAAAAAUCUCUGGCAAGUCAGAGGAGUUCAUUGCUCACAUUAAGAGCUGCUUCUCAUUGCUCUCUUAUUCAUUCAGCCAUUAGUUAAUUAAUUCUCUCAACAUGAAUCUAUUCGGUCCCGGCUGUGUGCCAGGGUCUGUGCUAGAUGCCGGGGGCAUCAUGUCAGCCAAACAUGGUUGCCAGCCUCCAUAAAACUGUUCUAGUGGGGAAAUUAGAUAUUAAACGAGCAGUGUCACAACUCCAUAAUUAAAAACAGUGGAUGAGCUUUCAGGGAAAAUCAUAGUGUGCUGUGAAAGAGUAAAAAUGAGGGGAUCCGAUCAAAGCUGAGGGAGCUGCAUUUGGGCUGAAUUCUGCAAGAUCCAUGAGAAGUAACACGCAAAGUGGGUGCGAAGGUACAGUUGGGAGAGGGACACGUUCCAGGGAGAGGGACAUUUUCCAGGCAGAGGCAUGUGCCAAGGCCCCAGGGUGGAGCCAUUGAAAGAAGGAACCUAAGAGCUGUGGUGAUAGUGCCAUAUGUGUUCAUGCUGCUUUUGUUUUUACAAAGACUUAACUUUUUAGGGCAGUUUUAGGUUCACAGCAAAAUUGAGAGGAAGAUACAGAAAUUUCCGUAUGCCCCCCAUGCCCUCACAUGCACAAGCUCCCCAACUAUCACCAUCCCCCACCAGAGUGGUGCAUUUGUUACAAAUGAUGAACCAAAUUGACACGUCAUUAUCACCCAGAGUCCAUAGUUUACAUUCGGGUUUGUUCUUGGUGUUAUACAGCCUAUGGGUUUGGACUCUAUCCACUGUUAGAGUAUCAUAGAGAAUAGUUUCCCUGACCAAAAAAUUCUCUGUGCUCCAUCCACCUGUUCAUUCCUGUCUCCCUCCUGACCCCUGGCAACCACUGAUCUUUUAACUGUCUUCAUACUUUUGCCUUUUCCAGAAUGUCAGAUAGUUGGAAUCACACAGUAGCCUUUUCAAAGUGGCUUUUUUCACUUAGUAAGUAUGCCUUUAAGUUUCCAUCAUGUCUUUUCAUGACUCAAUAGCACAUUUCUUUUCAGUGCUGAAUAAAAUCCCAUUGUCUGGAUGUACUGCCAUUCGUUUAUCCAAUCACCUGCUGAUGGGUAUGUUGGUUGUUUCUAGGUUUUGGUAAUUAUGAAUAACAUUGCUAUACAUAUCUAGGUUUUGGUAGUUAUGAAUAACAUUGCUAUACAUAUCUGUGUGCAGGUUUUUAUGUGGACUUAAAUUUUCAACUUCUUUGGAUAAAUGCCAAGAACUGUGAUUGCUGCAUUGCACAGUGAGAGGUAUGUUUAGUUUUGUAAGAAGUUGCCAAACUGUCUUCCAAAGUGGCUGUGCCAUUUUGCAUUCUCACUAGCAAUGAAUGAGAAUUCCAGUGGCUCCACAUCUUCACCAGCAUUUGGUGCUGUCGGUGUUCUGGAUUUCGGUCAUGUUAAUAGGUGUGUAGUGAUGUCUCGUUGUUUUAGUUCACAUUUCCCUGAUGACCCAUGAUGUGGAGCAUGUUUUCAUGUGCUUCUUUGUGUCUAUAUAUCUUCAUUGGUGAGGUGUCUAUCACAAUAUUUGGCCCAGUGGUUAAUUUUUCGUAGCUGACCAGUAUGAUGAGGGGUGCUAGGGAUGAAGGUUGGUGAAGCCCACAAAGUGAGUUUCUGUCUUUUUGAGUAUCCACAUUUGAACUAGGCAACCUGGCUGCAUGAAACUCGUAGCUUUUGUUUUCCCCCACUUUUUCAGCCAUCUUUCAGGGUCACAUCCUGAGGUAAUGUUGGGGCCCCUGGUUUUUACUGUUGAUAAUUAUUUUAAAACUGCAGUGACCUCACUGUUGCAUUUAAUUUUUUUAAACACAAGGGCUGGGGGUGGUGGCUCACACCUGUAAUCCCAGCACUUUGGGAGGCUGGGGCAGGGAGAUCACUUGAGGCCAGGAUUUCAAGACUAGCCUGGCCAACAUGGCGAAUCCCUGCCUCUAAUAAAAAUACAAAAAUUAGUUUGGUGGCACACACCUGUAAUCCCAGCUACUCAGGAGGCUGAAGCACAAAAAUCGCUUGAACCCGGGAGGUGGAGCUUGCAGUGAGCUGAGAUUGCACCACUGCACUCCAGCCUGGGUGACAGAGUGAGACCCUGUCUCAAAAAAAAAAAAAUGUAAUUUACACAAAAAACUACACACAAAGUAUAUAAUUUGAUAACUUUUUGACAUACAUAUAUAGCCAUGAAAUCAUAGCUACAGUCAAGAUAACAAAUGUAUCCACCACCCCAAAAAUAUCCUCACACCUCUUAUUCCUGGGCCUGCUUCCCCUACUCCAUAUUCAGGACGCAGUCCUAAGGCAAUCCGCUUUCUGCCAUUAAAGACUAGUUUGCAUUUCUGAAAUUGGACUCAGCAUUUACUCUUCCAUCAUCUGGCUUCCUACUCAACGUAAGUAUUUUGAGAUUCAUCCAUGUUGCUGCAUGUCUCAUUGGUUCAUUCCUCUUCAUUGCUAAGUAGUAUUCCAUCGCAUGGAUGUACCACAGUGGGUUUAUCCAUUUAUCUGCUGACGGACAUUUGGGUUCUUUUCAGUUUGUGAUUAUAACACAUAAACGUGCUAUGGAGUUCAUGUUUUAAUCUUUGUAUGAACACAUGAUUUCAUUUCUCCUGGGUAUAUACCCAGCUGUCAAAUGCCUAGGUCAUAUGAUAGGUGCAUGUUUAACUAUUUAAGAAACUGCCAGACUGUUUUCCAAAGUGAUUGUAACAUUUUACGUUGUUACCACCAGCAGCUAUGAGAGUUCCAGGUGUGCUGCGUCAUCCUGGAUGCUUGCCAUGGUCAAUCGUUUUGAGUUUAGAUAUUCCAACAGGUGUGCAGUGGGAUCUCACUAUGGUUUCAAUUUGCAUUUCCCUAACAAAUGAUCCUGAGCCUCUUCUAUGUGCUGCUUUGCCAUCUGGUUAUCUUAUUUGGUGACACAUCUAGUAAAAUCUUUUGCUCAUUUUGGGCAGUUGUUACCUUAGUAUUGAGUUUUGACAGUCCUUUUUAUAUUCUAGAUACGUCCUUUAUUAGAUAUCCAUUUUGCAAAGCCUGUAACUUGUCUUUUUAUUUUUUUAACAGUAUCUUUCAAAAACAGAAGUUCUCAAUGUUGAUGAAGCUCAGUUUAUCAAGUUUUUCCUUUAUGUAUUGUGUUUUUGGUAUUGUGUCUAAGACAUCUUUGCCUGAGAUGAGAAGUUGUAUGGUUUAAGGUUUUACACUUAGGCCUGUGGUCCAUUUUGAGUUUGUUUUUGUACACAGUGUAAAGUAUGAAUUAAAGUUUGGUUUAUUUUUUGCAUAUAGAUAUUCAAUUAUUCCAGCACCAUUUGUUGACAGGCUAUUGGUAUGGUCUAAAAGUUUGUACCCUCUGCAGAUUUGUAUGUAGAGAUCCUAAUCCCCGAGGUGAUUGUAUUAGGAGGUGGGGUGUUUGGGGAUCUUAUUAAGUCAUGAGGGCAGAGCCUUCAUGAAUGCCAUUAGUGCCCUUAUAAAAGAGCCUCAGAGACCUGCCUUGUCCGUUCCACAUUGGGAGGACACAGUGAGAAGACUGUGAGUCUAUGAGGAAGCAGAGCCCUGGCCAGACACCGAAUCUGCUGCCACCUUGAUCCUGGACUUCUCAGCCUCCAGAACUGUGAGAAAUACAUUUAUGUUGUUUAGAAGGGUACAGAUUAUGGUAUUUGAUCAUAGCAGCCUGAGUGGACUCAGACAACCAUCCUUUCUCAACUGAAUCGAUGUUGCACAUUUGUUGAAAAUCAAUCGUCCAUAUAUGUGUAGAUCUAUUUCUGGACUGUGUAUUCUGUUUCAUUGAUCUAGUCUACCUUUGUGCCAAUGCUAUACAGUUUUGAUUACUAAAGAUUAUAAGUUUUAGAAUCAGCUAGUGUAAACAGUGAAAAUCACUGAGAGUUCAGAAGUUAAAGUUGUACUGCGGUUUCAAAUAAGGUACUUAAUGGUCCUUUUUCAUCAUUCAGCAUGAAUAUCCCCUACGUAUCUCUGAAGGUUGAUUUUGUUCUUUAUUUUAAGAAUAAAAUAACGUUGUGAACAGCUUGAACCUGACAAGUUCACUUGAAAGCAUUGCACAGGAAGUGGAUUUCUCAGCAGCCAUUGGUGGGGCCUUGUGAUCCCCUGAGAGUGAGCAGCUCUGGGAACAGAACUGACAUGAGUGUCUGGGAGGGGACAUGGGAAGGAUCUGCAUACAAAUUGAAGAUCCAAUUCCUAUAAAUUUUCUAUACAAUUGUAUAUUUUAAUAUAUAAUUAUAAUUGAUUUUAAGUCUGUCUCUGGAAAUAUAAGCUUUAAUAAUUUACAUCUUCACUUAAUCACUUAUGAAAUCAUUUUAUAACCCUUAAUAAAAUUAGAUAGUGUAACUUGUCAAA